CAUUUCUCUUCUUCCCCACAUCAGCUACUACCCGACCCGCUUCUUCCCUUUUGCUUCCGCUUCAUCCCCAUCCCACCGCCUCCCUUCCCCCCUGCUGCAGCCCUCCGCCGCCAUCCUUUCCUCGCCUAUUUGGCCUCUUCUCUCCGCCUUCUCUCACCCGGUUCUACCUAAACGACAUGCCCCCCUUAAUUUUUGUCCCUCUCUGCUCCUAGGGUUUCAAAUUUCAAUUCCAAUUCCAAUUCAUCAUUUGCCCUCGCAGUCGUUUCCCUGAAAUAUUCUAGGGUUUUUUUUCGCUCUCGAAAAAAGGUUCAGUUACUAUGGUACGGAAACAGCAAUUGGUUGCAUCCACAAUUUUUCCUUAUGGAACUGAACUCAUGUGUUUAGCUAAAUGCUUGCUUUAGUUAUGGAGCAUUAAUCAAUGUGCAAGAAUGCUGGCGUUGUUGCUGUUGUACUGUGGUCUUCCAUGCAUCUUGAUGGAAUUAUAGAGCAUUAAUUUAUGUCUACCUGAAUUGCAUUUGAAAAAGUUCAUAACUAAGAAGGCUUAGCCUUCCCAAGCAGGUCCCUUAAGUUCUUCCGUCUAUUUCUGUUAAGCUUUCAUUUAGAUGUAAUGAUCUUUAUGAUUUAGGUUAUAUCUGAUUUCAGGACAGAUUUUCUUUAUGAUUUUCAUUUUGAAUUGUUCAUGAUGCAUAUUGAUGGCUCUGAUAGUUAGCUCUUAGCGCUGUUUUUGGAAAAAGGAGAAAUAUUUUCCCUUCUCCCAUAGCCUCAGAAUGCAAUUCCAUUUUUCUGUCUCUUUGUUUGACUGUUAAUUUUGCAGUUCAGAUCUUAGGGCAGCAGCCCUGAAUGAUCGAUUGCAGAAACUUCUCAGAAGCAUAUGAUAUCCAGGCGGCUCAAUAGAUUUUGAGGCCUAAGGCUACAAAUUUAGGCAUAUCAAGUUCUCCAAAAUUUCUUUUGGAAAGGGAGUUAUCUCAACCAUGGAGGAGGAGCUAAGGAUGCUAGGCUGGUUGGUUCUUACGGUCAGUCUGAAAAUGUGAUGAGAAGCAGUUGAUGUAAUUGCUGUAGUUGGUGUGACUUUUGUUGUUGGUUAGAUUGCCUAUGCAACCGUGGUGUUGUUGUUUGGGGGCCUGUGGGGCUGCCCUUCCUGUGUAUAUAUACAUAUAAACUUUCAAGCCUCCAAAUUGAAGAAGCCCCUCUCUUUUCUUUCCUUU